rnacentral:rRNA from 1 species
GCGGCGCACGGGUGCGGAACACGUGUGCAACCUGCCUUUAUCUGGGGGAUAGCCUUUCGAAAGGAAGAUUAAUACCCCAUAAUAUAUUGAGUGGCAUCACUUGAUAUUGAAAACUCCGGUGGAUAGAGAUGGGCACGCGCAAGAUUAGAUAGUUGGUGAGGUAACGGCUCACCAAGUCAAUGAUCUUUAGGGGGCCUGAGAGGGUGAUCCCCCACACUGGUACUGAGACACGGACCAGACUCCUACGGGAGGCAGCAGUGAGGAAUAUUGGACAAUGGGUGAGAGCCUGAUCCAGCCAUCCCGCGUGAAGGACGACUGCCCUAUGGGUUGUAAACUUCUUUUAUACUGGGAUAAACCUACCCUCGUGAGGGUAGCUGAAGGUACAGUAUGAAUAAGCACCGGCUAACUCCGUGCCAGCAGCCGCGGUAAUACGGAGGGUGCAAGCGUUAUCCGGAUUUAUUGGGUUUAAAGGGUCCGUAGGCGGACUCGUAAGUCAGUGGUGAAAUCUCAUAGCUUAACUAUGAAACUGCCAUUGAUACUGCGGGUCUUGAGUAAAGUAGAAGUGGCUGGAAUAAGUAGUGUAGCGGUGAAAUGCAUAGAUAUUACUUAGAACACCAAUUGCGAAGGCAGGUCACUAUGUUUUAACUGACGCUGAUGGACGAAAGCGUGGGGAGCGAACAGGAUUAGAUACCCUGGUAGUCCACGCCGUAAACGAUGCUAACUCGUUUUUGGGUUUUCGGAUUCAGAGACUAAGCGAAAGUGAUAAGUUAGCCACCUGGGGAGUACGUUCGCAAGAAUGAAACUCAAAGGAAUUGACGGGGGCCCGCACAAGCGGUGGAUUAUGUGGUUUAAUUCGAUGAUACGCGAGGAACCUUACCAAGGCUUAAAUGGGAAUUGACAGGUUUAGAAAUAGAUCCUUCUUCGGACAAUUUUCAAGGUGCUGCAUGGUUGUCGUCAGCUCGUGCCGUGAGGUGUUAGGUUAAGUCCUGCAACGAGCGCAACCCCUGUCACUAGUUGCCAUCAUUCAGUUGGGGACUCUAGUGAGACUGCCUACGCAAGUAGAGAGGAAGGUGGGGAUGACGUCAAAUCAUCACGGCCCUUACGCCUUGGGCCACACACGUAAUACAAUGGCCGGUACAGAGGGCAGCUACUAUGCGAAUAGAUGCGAAUCUCGAAAGCCGGUCUCAGUUCGGAUUGGAGUCUGCA